AGAGUUUGAUCAUGGCUCAGAAUCAACGCUGGCGGCGCGCUUAACACAUGCAAGUCGCACGAGAAAGUGGAGCAAUCCAUGAGUACAGUGGCGUACGGGUGAGUAACACGUGGAUCAUCUACCUUUUAGUGGGGAAUACCCCCGGGAAACUGGGGAUAAUACCGCAUAAGCUCGUAAGAGGAAAGCAGCAAUGCGCUGAAAGAGGAGUCCGCGGCUGAUUAGCUAGUUGGUGAGGUAAUGGCUCACCAAGGCGAAGAUCGGUAGCCGGCCUGAGAGGGCACACGGCCACACUGGCACUGAAACACGGGCCAGACUCCUACGGGAGGCAGCAGUGGGGAAUCUUGCACAAUGGAGGAAACUCUGAUGCAGCGACGCCGCGUGAGCGAUGAAGCCCUUCGGGGUGUAAAGCUCUUUCGACGGGAACGAUAAUGACGGUACCCGAAGAAGAAGCUGCGGCUAACUACGUGCCAGCAGCCGCGGUAAUACGUAGGCAGCAAGCGUUGUUCGGAAUUACUGGGCGUAAAGAGUGUGUAGGCGGUGCUCUAAGUCUGUUGUGAAAUCUCCCGGCUUAACCGGGAGGGUGCGGCGGAAACUGGAGUACUUGAGGGUGGGAGAGGUAAGCGGAAUUCCUGGUGUAGCGGUGAAAUGCGUAGAUAUCAGGAGGAACACCUGUGGUGUAGACAGCUUACUGGACCACUUCUGACGCUGAGACACGAAAGCGUGGGUAGCAAACAGGAUUAGAUACCCUAGUAGUCC
rnacentral:rRNA from 1 species